CCUACGGGAGGCAGCAGUGGGGAAUAUUGGGCAAUGGGCGCAAGCCUGACCCAGCAACGCCGCGUGAAGGAAGAAGGCUUUCGGGUUGUAAACUUCUUUUCUCAGGGACGAAGAAAGUGACGGUACCUGAGGAAUAAGCCACGGCUAUCUACGUGCCAGCAGCCGCGGUAAUACGUAGGUGGCAAGCGUUAUCCGGAUUUAUUGGGUGUAAAGGGCGUGUAGGCGGGAGCGCAAGUCAGAUGUGAAAUCUAGGGGCUCAACCCUGAGCCUGCAUUUGAAACUGUGUUUCUUGAGUGCAGGAGAGGCAAGCGGAAUUCCGGGUGUAGCGGUGAAAUGCGUAGAGAUACGGAGGAACACCAGUGGCGAAGGCGGAUUGCUGGACAGUGACUGACGCUGAGGCGCGAAAGCGUGGGGAGCAAACAGGAUUAGAUACCCGUGUAGUC
rnacentral:rRNA from 1 species